GUGGGGAGGCCUGGCCAGCCAGGGGAAGAGCUUUGGGAAGCAGGAGGGUACGGGCAGAUUCCCUUCAUGCCAAUGUCCUGUACUGGCCCAGCACAUGGCUUUGAGAACCCCUGCACAUCUCCAAUGGGCCUGCCACCCUCUGCCUCACAUUGAGGUAAGAAGAGUACAGCUGUGGCUCUGGGUUUGGGGCCUAGCAGCUGACAGGGGUUGAGAUCAGUGGAGUAUGAACAGGAGGCAUGGAGUGGAGAGGGUCCUGGGCCCGCCAGGCUCCCUAGAGGAUCAUGGGAAGGGACACAUGUAGAUUGUAUGCCAAUCGUGGCAGGCUCUGAGUCAUUCUGCAUCCUGCCCUAGUCCUCUCUAAAGUGGAAGGCUCCUCAGCUGCCUGCCCACCCUCUUCCUCUAGUGCCCUGCACUGCCCUCUGCCAAACCCUCUGGGCUGUGCUCUUGGCCUGGUCCCCAGCUCCCUCCAUGUCCCUCGGUCAACCUGCUGUUCUCUGGAGCCACCAGUGCACCCGUAAGUCCUAUCCAGCCCUACCUCCAGCAGCAUGGCUUCCUGGUCAAGGUUCCCUAACAGUGCCUACCAUGGGGUCCUCCUUGCCUACCCUAGACACUCUGCAUUGCCUGAAGGUCCACAUUGCCUGGUAGUUCACUCUGUCUUCUCCCUUUUUCUCUCGCUCCUAGCCUUCCCAGAAUGCCCCAUGCCCUUGGGUUUCAUGGACCACCCAAAUUCCAAUAUAUACUGGGAAGUGACUCCUAUAGGAUUCUUACUUUUUACCUUGCCAAGUAACUACCUAAAAACCUCCCACCUACAUCCACCAUAUGUCAUAAUAAAAAUUAUAGUGUGCCCUCAAAAUUUCAGGGUGGGCCUUUUAUGGAAUAAAUUUAGCCUUUUGAACCCCUCACUCUGUUGUCUCUUUUCUUAUUUUGGCCACGCAUCAUGAGUGCCUAUCAUGGCCUGGUCUCACAUGGCCAGCCCAUGGGACCUCUGUGCCUGCAGCCAGGACCACCCUGCCUCUCUGACCUGCCCUCCCUGCCAGCCUAGAGUCCUGAUCCCACCCACACCCCUAUAUGGCCUGCAUACACCAAGACUUCACUACCCAAGAUUAUCACCUCCACAAACCCCAUUCUAAGGCUCCACUUUUCUCGUCUCUGUGUCACACCCUGAAAAUGGGCAAAUCUACCUUACGAUGCCUCUGGCUCCUGCCUCCUCUGCCAGGUCUCUUCCUUCAGCCCACCCUCCCACAUUCUGCCCAGGAAACUUUCCAAAACAUCUGCUUUGUCCCAUCUCACAUGCCUAAAACCUCCAGAGGCUUCCAGGGUCUUUAGGAAAAGCCCAUCCUCCUCAGCCUGGCACUCAGUUGUUGGCAUUAGGCCCUCACAACCCUCUAUUCUCACUUUGGCUGCAGCCCACAGCCAAGCCACUUCUCACAGUCCCCAUCCAUCACUGGCAAAUAAAGCCACAACCAAGGGUAAGCUUAUGCUUCUGAAUCCCCUAUCUAGGGGAGCAGACAGAUGUGUAAACAGAUUUACCGAGGGCCAGGUAGGGGCAGAGAACACCCUGGGGCAGAGAGCACACUGCAGCCCGCUGGGAUGGGCCUCUAGUGCUAGGCCAUAGGGGUGUGGGCUUCCUGUGUGGCAAUGGAAACCAGGCCAGGACUGAGAGGACGAGAGCAGCCGCGCCAGGUUCAUAUGACUGAUUUUCUUAGGAAACACCCAUAGAUUAAGUUUGGAGUGGAAGGGGUCCAGACUAGAAGUGAGAGCUGAAGAGGCCUAAAGGGGGAGGUAGCAGGGGCUGGACCAGGUGUGGGUGGUGAAGGGACAGUGCUGGGAGGAGGCUGAAGCUUCUAGUAGGGUAUGUGGCUGGAAGGCUGUGGGGGCCCAUGUGUGUGUCUGUAUCUGCCAGGCUGUCUGCCGGGCUGCAGCCCCUCCCUGUGGGGGCCCC
rnacentral:lncRNA from 1 species